rnacentral:rRNA from 1 species
UACGUAGGGUGCGAGCGUUAAUCGGAAUUACUGGGCGUAAAGCGUGCGCAGGCGGUUUUGUAAGCCAGAUGUGAAAUCCCCGGGCUCAACCUGGGAAUGGCAUUUGGGACUGCAAGGCUUGAGUGCGGCAGAGGAGACUGGAAUUCCUGGUGUAGCAGUGAAAUGCGUAGAUAUCAGGAGGAAUACCGAUGGCGAAGGCAGGUCUCUGGGCUGACACUGACGCUCAUGCACGAAAGCGUGGGGAGCGAA